UGUGUGUGUGUGUGUACAUGAGUCUGGCAUAUACUUAUUACAUUGGAAUAUAAUUGUUUUGGAACUCAUGGGUUUUUGAUCCUCUUAAUGAACCUGUUGGUGUUAUCAUCUAAAAAUCCAUUGCAUCAUUUUUAAACUGGGUUCAAAUGAACAAAUUUCUCCUUUUGUUCAGUUGGUAAUUAUAUCGCCUCUGUAAUUAUCCUACCAGUGUAGUUCACUCUUAGACAUACUGUGGAUCCUUGUGAAAUCCAUCUGUGUUAUAUAGGGCACAUCUGCAACACUCCUGUCAUGCAGAGCUGCAAGAAUGUGAAUGCAACAAACACGACCUCGAGCACUCAUGAACAGGAUAUCCAUCCUCUCACAUUCAUCUGCACUCUUCUCAUCCCCAAAGGAAUGUGCAUAUAUUACCUUUUAACAUUACAGGUGAGCUUUGCUUUUCACAGAUAAUUGUGCAGAAAUUUCCAAAGUUGCCAAUUAGCAUUAACAAAAGAUUUAGGAUUAAGUGUAAGAACCCAAACACACAACACAAGAUAAUUAUAUCAAUUUGUCAUGAGAAAUCAAAACAGAUAAUUUUAGGAUCAUUUGACCCAGAGUGUUUUACUGACACAUUGGUGAAAACAAAAGAUGCAUACAUACACACACACAUUAUGCUAAUAAGUUAUUUGAGAAGUUAAUUGCAUAGAUGUACUGUAUGUAAUCAUGAAAGAUUCAUUCUGGCUUAUGCAAGCAUCUGUGUUGUGAUUUAAAAAUGCAAAACUGAUUUAUUGGACUAUAUAAACUGUGAUAAACAUUAAACAUUUGGUACUAUGCAAAUAAUCUGUAAUUAUAUUACUAAGUACUUAUGGUAUCCAGUAUUCCGUGUUUUUAAUAGACUACUAAAAUGCUGUGGGUGGUUUCCUCCCACCAAAUGUUACUUAUAAAUAUAUACAUACAAAUACUGAUAAUGCAUGGAUUGUAUUUGUUUAGGAAAGGCUUCUCUUCUUAAUGAACAAGACCUGUGCUUAUAAAAUGUCCUCAGUUUCCUCCACAGUGUCUCUGGGACAGCAGCAACUGCAGCACCGUCUGAUCCAGUGCAGUAGCCGCAAUCUCCGUGAAGUUGGCCCGACUAUGCCUCCUCUCUGGGAUUCUCCUUUCGCUCCUUUCUCCCUCUCUUCACUCAGGGCAUGCACAGAAAUCUCCAUCCUUCCACCGACUCUUUCCAUCUGUUCAGUCGUCACUCUUUGAGCUCCUCCAAUCUGCUCUCCAUCUCCUUCCAGCAUCAGCGUUUGCACGGCUCUGUCCGUCACCCGUCUGAAUCUGUCCACUCUUAGAGCUGCAUCACUAAUGAGGCGCUCCAUAAUCUCCAAGUGCUGACUACUUGUUUCUGUUUCUUCACUCUUCAGUCGAUUGAUUUCAAUCAGCAUACACUCCCUUAACAGAAGUAUUUCCUUUUCCUUUUCUAUGAGCAUGAGUCUGUCAGUUUCCCUCUCAUGCUGGAGGGCUUCAUUAUAUCUUUCCAUUUCAGCUUUCCGUAGCUCCAACUCGAUUUGUUCUCUUUGCAUUCCCAGUCUUUCCAGUUCCUUCCUCUGUAUGUCUUGUAAUCUGUUCUUUAGUUCAUCUUUCAUUUCCUGUAUUCUCCUUUUCAUUGCAUCUAUCUCUUCAUACUGUGGUGGAGCAUCUCUUUCCUGGUCUUCAGUUUGUGUCUCUUGAGUUCUCUUCUGCUUAACAUCCUCUGUAUGUUCUUGAAUGGAUUUUGUAGUUGCCAUUACUUCAUGAUCUUCUUGUUCACUCUGAAUAUUAGUUUCCUGUUGAGUCUUCUCAGUCCUUGUCUGUCUUUGUAUGUCAGUCUCAAUUUGUUGCAGUUCUCUUCUUUUGCAUUCAUAGCUUUGUGUGAGAUGAUCAAUCUCCUUGGUAAGUCUCAGUACCUCAGCUUGAACCUUCUCCAGGCUGUUCCUCCUCCUCUCGAGACUCUCCAUGAUCACUGACUUUUCUUCUUCAGCGGUUUUACAUUCAUCCCUCAAUUUAUGCAGGUGAUCCUUUGCCUUCUCCAUCUCAAGAAGGCCAGUUUGUAUGAUCUUCAUUUUAUUCUCCAUUUCGUCAUGUUGCCUCUGUAGUUCAGCUCUCAUGAUGUUUAGCUCAUCUCGUUCUAGGGUUGUGCCAUCCAUUAGCUGAAGAACUUCUCUUUGGGUGUCAGUUUUGUAGAUUUUUGCUUUUGUUUCUCCAUCUGUUUUGGCCCAAUGAAUCUCAGUCAGUUCCAGACUGCUGUCUCUGUCUGUCUUUUUCUCCUCUUUAGUGUCUUGUACUUGUUCCAAUGCUUUUUUGUAUGUGACUUUCUCAGCAUCCCUGUCACUUUUAACGGAAGUAUCAUCUGUUUUUCCCUUGAUUUUUAGUGUCUCCUGUUCAUUUUGCUUUUGUUGAAGCAACUCAUUUUCAAUGUUUUCCUUCUCUUCUUUCAGUGACCCUAUAGUCUCUUCCAGUUGUCCCAACUUUAUCACGAAUGCUUCUGUGAUGCUCUCUAUUUCCUUAUUUUUCUUCUCAAGGUUGUUUGAUAAAUCCUCCUUGUCUUGUGUAAGUUGUAGCAGUUUUUCUUCAUUUCUUGACUUCUCCUUCAUGACUUCCUUCAUAUUUCUCUCAAAGUCUUUUUUUGCUUGUUCCAGUUCAUGUCUCUCUUUUUUCAUCAUUGUCUUCAUUCUCUCCAAAUCUUCAAUUUCUUUGUUUAAAGAGUCCAUUAUUUCUUGCACUUCAGAUGGGUGUGUGUCUUUUGACUUGGCCACAGUGGGUUGUUUUUUCUUUGUUGCAGCCGUUUCAUCUUCUAAUUCCUUUUGUCUACCAUCAUCUGUUUUCUUAAAGUCAUCCAAAGAUGUUUGUGUUUCAGCAUCUACUGAGGUGGUCUUCAUCUGAUAUAUCUCAAGUUCAUCUGUUUUUUGUUUCUUUACUUCUACGUCCUCUCUUAGGACAUCAGCAUCCCUCUUUGAGUGAUCUUUUGUUUUCAUCUCUUCUGGUAAGCGAUGCAUUUCUACUUUCUGUCUCUUUAUUUGAAUCUCCAUGUUUAACAUCUCCAGUUCAGAUAAUUGUCUGUUUAUUUGCUUUUGCAGGUCCUCCAUUGUUCUUGUCUUUUCUUCUAUAAUGCCUUCCAUGUCCUCUUUUUCUUUCUGCAUCAUGUCUUUAUCUUGUUGCAGCAAAGUUCUCUCAUGUUGUAUGCUUUGUUUGCUGUCUUCAGCCUCUUUCUUCAGUCUGUUUAAAUCAGCUCUCUCCUUUUCGAUACGAUAUUUUUCACUUUCAUUUAUCUUUUUGCUGUUUUCAAUCUCCUUUUUGUCCCUUUGAAUGUCAUUAUUAAGCUUUUCAAGCUCUUCUUGUUUUGUCUGGAUAUUUUUAUUGAGCAUAUGUCUGUGUUCAUCAAGUUCAGACUUCUCUUUCUGAAGCACAUCUCUCUCUCGUUUGAUGACCACCAUGAUGUCUUCUAAUUCCUGCUGCUGUUGAUCUAAUGUGAGCUUUUUCUUUUCGAUCUGAUUUUUUUCCACCUCAAUUGUGUUCCUCAGUUCUUCUAGUUCAUCCAUCUGUUUCUGGAGAUCAGCCUGCAAUUCAGCAUCUGUCUUUUCUUCUUCAGUGUCCUCCUUGACCUUUUGUAAAGCAGCUUGGAUCUGUGUUUCACUCUCCACUGCUGUUUUUACAUCUUUCUUCUUUAUUUGGGUCUUGGCUUGCUGAUCAAUUUCUGUCAGUAAAUCUGCUCUUUUCUGAGUUAAAUUUUCCAUCUCUUUUUCAAACUGUUCUCUGUUUUCUGCCAUUUCUUGCUUGGACCUUUCAAUUUCAAAAUUUAAGCUUUGCAGUUCAUCUUUCUUUCUCUGGAUUUCUUUCUUCAAAGCAUCAGUCUCCUCUCUUUCCUUUCCAAGAGGAUCUGCUGUGAUUUUCUCAAGCUCAUCGGUCUGUUGCUUUGCAUCAACUUUGAUUUGAUCAAAAACAUUCUUCUGAUCUUCAAAUGUUUUGAUUUUUUCUUGUAGUUGUCGUCUGUCUUGUUCUAGAUGAGUUUUCAUGCUCUCUAAAUCAUUUCUCACUUUUCUGUUUUCAUUCAUCAAGCCAUCUACCUCUUGCUGCUGUUGAUUCAUAACAAUUUGCCUCUUUUCCAGCUGCAUUUUCUCAGCUAUCACAAUGUUUCUUAAGUUAUCUACAUCUUUUCUUUGCAUGUCAAGUUCUUUUUCUUUGUUUUCCAGAUCCUGUUCUUUAAGUCGUAUUUCAUUCUGUGUGCUUUCCACUGUCUCUCUUAGCUGUGUUAUAUCAGUAAUCUUCUGCUCCAAUGUCAGCCUCUCUUUGUGCAGUUCUUGCAUUGUCAAGUCAUUUUUUUCUUUUUGCUUUUGGAGAUCUUCUCUUAGAGCCUCAUUCUCUGCUUUGCUCUUCUCUAAGUUCUCUUUCUGUGUCUGAAGUUGCAGUAGAUCUGAUUGCAGAAGCUUUGUCUGCCUCUCGAUGUCGGCACGCAUAGUACUGAGCUCUUCUUCUUUCCUUCUCAUGUCAUCCAGUCUCUUUGGAAUGUUCUCUUGGUCUUUACUGAUUUGAGAGGUGAUUCGGUCAGUUUUCCUGAUUUCCUCAUUAAGAUUUUCAGACUUUCUUUGUAAAUCUGCCUUGAUCUCCUCCAGAGAGUCUUUUUCUUUUUGAAUAUUUUGUUUGUCAUUGUUCAUUUGCACAAUGUUGCUGUCCAGUUGAGAUUUUUUAUUUUCAGUUUCGUUCAUUAACUGCUUCAGCAUUUUCUUUUCCUCUUCAAUGCUCUUCUUCUCCAACUGUAACUCGGUUUUUAAUUGAUCCAUUUCAUGUUUUUCUGUUAACAGUCUGUCCAGCAUAUCUUUCUUCUCUUCCUCAGAUUUAUUUCUCAAUUGCUCUAGGUCUUCCAACUCACUCUUGAUGGUUUUCAGAAUGUUUUCCAUCUCUUGCUUUUCUUGUUUUACUUCUGCUUUCUCUCUGUCAAGUUCAAUUUUCUCUCUUUCUAAGAUAUUCCUUAGCUCUUCUACUUUGGUUUUCUGUUUCUGUAUAUCUGCUUCGCAUAGAGUUACUUUCUCUCUCUUAUUUUCCAUUUCAGUGGUUUUCCUUUCUAGCUCAGCAUUCAUUUUCUCCAAAGCCUUUCUUUCUCUUUGCAUGUCAUUCUCUUUGAUUUCAAAAUCCUCUUGCUGUUUUCUGAUUAUUUUCUCUAGCUCUUCAUGUUUAGUCUGUAUUUCUGCAUUCAUCUGUUCAAUUUGAUUCCUUUCUUUUGCUAACCUCACCUUGACAUUUUCUAUGUCUUCUAACUGUCUCUGUAUCUCAACUUCAGCAUGCUUCUCUCUUCUUUUGUUUUCCUCUGCUAGUUUAUCCAUAUCUUCUCUUUCUUUUUGUUGUUGAAUAACUAAAGCAUUUAGAUUUUCCCUCUCUUUUUGUAAGUCCUUCAUAAUUUUCUCUAGAGCAUUUGUCUCGUGUUGAAUCUCAGUCCUUAUGUCUUCUAAUUUUUGUUUUUCAAGCUUGAUCUCUUCUUUUUGGUCAUUUAAUUGGGUUUGCAUCUUUUCAAUAUGUUCCAUCUCUCUAUUAAUUCUCUCUUUGGUGGUUUCAACGUCCUCUUUCUCUUUCAGCAAUUGAUCAUUCAGAUGUGCUAGUCUUUUUCUCUCAGUUUUUAAGACUUGCAUGUCCUCGUCAUCUUGUCUGGACCUUUCAGUGGCUACCUGUGUCUCAACCCACUUUAUUUCUGCAGCUUUCCCAAUGUCUUCCACUUGUUGUUUGUGUUUGUUUAUUUCACACCUCUCUUGUUCUAGCUCACUCUUCUCCAUUGUCACUUCAUUCAUCAUUUCUUCUAGGUCUUUUGUCUGCUUUUGAAUUUGUUCUUUCAUGUGCAGCAGCUCGUCUCUUCUCAUUCUUAAAUCUUCAUUUUCCUUUUUAAUUUGUUCACGUUCUUCAGCCAUCUCAUCCUUAAAUUUCUCCAGAUUUUUCUUCUCUGCCUCUCUCUCCUCUGUUUUGAACUGUAGAUUUUCUAAUUCCUUAAGCUUAAUAUUCAGUUCAUUCACCAUGUCCUGUAAUCUCAUUUCUGCUUCUCUCUUUUCUUUUUCUAGAAACUGACAAGUGCUUUUCAAUUCUGAUUUUUCUCUGUUCAAAUUGUCAUUCAUCUGUUCCAGGUCAUCCUUCUGUCUCUUGGUUUCAUUGAGGAUUGCUUCAAUCUGGAUAAUUUUAUCUUGUAAGAUCUUAUCACUGUCCGUGACCCUUAUUUCUGCAGCCAUUUGCUGCAUUUCAGCUUUCUUCUUUUCCAGCUCACCCUUCUCUCUUGUUAUAAUGUCCAUCAUGUUUUCAAUUUCUCUCUGCUCAUUCUGGAGGUCGGCUUUCAUCCUUUCUAUUUCAUCUUUCUCUUCUUUUAAUGUGUGCAUAACACUGUGAGUUUCAUCAUAUUGCACUUCUGCAUUGGUUUUCUGUGGUUCCUCUUUCUGCAAAUCUGUUUUUAUUUGCUCCAGUUCAUGUUUUUCUCUCUCACAUUCCCUUUGUAUCUUCUGAAUUUCUUCUCUUUCAUUGUCAAUUUCAGUCUUCAUUUUUUCAAAUUCUGCUCUCCUUUGAUGAAGCUCUUUUUGUCUCCGUUCUUCAGUGUGCUCCAUUUCUUCUUGCUUUGUUUUCAUUUCCUCCUCAAUCUGUUUAAUCUUGUUUAUCCUUUUAUUCGCCUCAGUCAUAAUAAUUUUAAACUCUUCCUGUUCUUUGAAAAGUUGAGCUGCCAUUUCUUCUACCCUUUUCUUUUCUUUCAGUACAUCAUCCAAAAGUCUUUCUAUGUCCUCUGCUCUCCUUAACCUUGAUUCCAGCUUGUCUCUUUCUGUCUCUGUGUUUUGUUUCAUAAGCCUAAACUCCUCUUUAUGUGUCUCCAGAUCGAUUCUCAUUCUAUUCAGUUCAUUUCUUUCUGAGUUCAGCAUUGCCUGACGCAUCUCCAUUUCCAUUUGCUCCUUCUGCAGCCCAGUGAGUAUUUUUUCAACUUCAUCCCUCUCCUUUCUUAAUGCUUCCUUUUGGUUCUGUAUUUCCUCCAGGUGUCUUUUUAUAUACUCCUCUCUCUCUGGAAGUAUUUCAGUUAACUCGUGUUCCUCCAUUUCUUUGGUGUCCACCAUCUCUUGUCUCUUUCGUUUUAGCUCUGUAUUUAUGAAGUCCAACUCCUCUUGUCUCUGUUUCAUCUCAGCAGAGAUGGUUUCCAUUUCUCUCUUCUUUUUUUGUAGUUGAAAUUCCAUGUUUUCUAUUUUCUCCUGUUUGCUCUUGAUCUCCAUUAGAAUUUUUUCCAUGUCCAUCUUAAUUUGAUCUUGAGUCAUUUCUAACUCAGAUCUUUCAUUUUCCAUAUUCUGUCUGCAUAACUCCAUCUCUUCAUAUUGUUUCUCCAGAUUCUUCCUCUCUCUGUCAGUGUGUUGUCUCAUUGUCUCAAUCUCUUUCUGGUCUCUCUGUAAAACAAGUCUUGUCUUUUCUAGUUCCCUCUUCUCAGUCAUCAACAUUUCAGUAAGGCCAUCCACUUCAUCUUUAUUGAACUCCAACUUUACUGUCAUGGAUGGAUCAGCUAUAUCUUUAUAUUCUGUUGUCAGUGCAGUGUCUUCUUGGCUCGAGUCCAUUUUGGUUUCUUCACUUCUCAUUUUGAGCUCUGUGUCCUCCUGAUCUCUCAUUCUCUCUAAUUCGUCUUCCAUCCCUUUUGUCAUGAAAGUUGUAUAUUCCUUAUGAAUGCCUGUGUGUUCCUCAACAAUCUGUUCCUGAGGGGCUGAAAUGUUACCUACAGGAAUGUUGUCUAGAUCAGAUGUUUGUGUAGCAGAACUAACCAAAAUUAAUUCCAGCCUCUGUGUUGGUUGUUUUCUCUUCAUCUCGUCCAUUGCCUCUCUCUGAUGUUCAAGGAUUUUUUUGUUUCUUUCAAGUGCUUCCCUUUCCCUUUGAAUCUCGGACAAGAGUCUGUUGGCUUCAUCUAUCUGUAUCUGUUUUCCUUGAGAGGCCAUUUCUUCUCUCUUCUGUUGAAGAAGCUGUCCAGAUAGAUGUUCUUCUUUUAAUGUUUCAGACACAUCUUUCUCUUUUUCUAACUGUUGUGUCUGCUCUUUCAUGAUCUCUGUUUUAUCAGUCUGUCUCUUGAUUUCAGCCUUGGACUGUUCCAGAUCUUGCCUCUCAUCUUGCACUAUUUGCAAUUCCAGUUUGAUUUGCUCUUCUUGAGCAUUGAGUUCGGCUUUUGUUUGAUCCAUUUCCUUCUUUAGAUGGUCUAUCAUAUCCUUGCUCCUAUCAGUUUCUUUUUGUUCUAUCAAUAUCUUGGCCAUCAGUUGAUCAAGUUCCUCUCUCUCCAUCUUUGCUUUUACUCUCAUUUCUUCUUCCAUUUGUUGUCUGUAUUUUUCAAAAUCAUUUCUCAUGUUCUCUAGAUCUCUUCUCUCCUCAUUCACAACUCUUAUACUCUCCUCCAGUCUUUGCUGCUGUUGAUUAAUUUCAGCCUUUUCAGUCUGUAAGUCAUUUUUGAUUUCUUCAAUUUCGUCUCUUUGUUUUUGCAAUUUCUUCUGGAGAACAUCCAGCUCAUUCCACUUCUUCAUCUUGUCGUCUUUUUCUUUCUCUAAUUCAUUUCUCUGUCUCAAGAUUUCACCAGCCUUGUGCUCAAGAAGCUUCUUCUCUUCAUCCAUUGAUCUUUUACUCAUCUCUUCUUUUUCUUUUUGUUCUGUCAUGUGCUUCUCUAGGUCAUCAGCCCUUCUUUGCAAAUCUUCUCUUUCCUUUUCAAUGUUAUUUCUAUCUUUUUCCAGAAGAUUUUUCUCUGUCUCAAACUUUUGAUUUUGUUGUGAUAUAUCAAACAUGAUUUUCUCUAAUUCACCCCUUCUCCUGUUUGUUUCUUCUAUGACUCUUUCAUAUUCCUUAUUAGCCUGUUUAAGUUUUUCUUCCAUUUCUGUUUUUUCAUCUUUCUUUCUGGUGUCCUCCAGAACAUUCCUCAUAGACUCAGUCUUUGACUGUUCAUAUUCAUAAAUUCUCUGUUGUAAUUCUGUCAAUUUAUGAUUCAUUUCUUCUCUUUCUUUUUCUAGAAGGUCUCUGCAGUUCUUUAACUCUUGUUUUUGUUUAUUUAUAUCUGUGUUCAUCCUUUCCAGAUCUUCUUUUUGUCUGUUUGUUCUUUCAGUGACACUCUCAAUUUCUUCCUUUUCCUUUUGUAGAUGAGCUUCCUUUUCUUUCAUUGUUUGUCUCUCCUUAUUAAUUUCCUCUUCCAUGUAUUGCACUCGUUCACUUUCUUUUUGCAGUUCUGUCUUUAUUUGAGACAGAAAAUCUUUUUCAUCAUUGAUCUUUUGUCUCUCAAGUUCAAUUUCUUCUUCAUGAAGUUUAAUAUUAUUUCUCUUUUCUUCCUCCUCAUUCAAUAAUUUCUGUACAUUUUCUUUGCUUUUCUCAAUAUUAGAUUUUUCUAGAUCUGUCUGUUUUAUUUUGUUGUCAAGUUCUGAUCUCUCUUCUUCUAUUUGUUUUCUUUGUAACAUUACUUCAGACCACAUCUUCUCAAGGUCAUUUCUUUUCUGUUCAAUGAUCUUUUUGGCAUCAUUAAUUUUCUUCUGCUCAUGAUCUAUUUUAGUUUUCUCUCUUUCCAGUUCACUCUUUAUCUGACCAAAUUCUUCUCUCUCCAUCUUUUCUUUUACCAUCCUUUCUUCUUCUUUCUCUUGUUCUUUCUUAAUAUGUUCUUGCAGUGUACACAACUCUUGCAUUUUUAGGCAUAUGUCUUGAUGUUCCUGCUCAGCUUUAGUUUUCAGCUUUUGAAUCUUGACUUUGGUCUCUUCUAGACCUUUUCUUUCUUCUUCUAUUUCCUUUUGUUCUGUUAGAUAUUCUUCCUUCUGUUUGCUGACUUGAGCAUCAAAUGCAUUCAUUCUCAGUUGUAACACUGUCCAUUUAUGGUUUAUUUCUUCUCUUUCUUGUUCUAGAAGGUCUCUGCUGUUCUUCAACUCUUGUUUUUGUUUAUCCAGAUCCUCUUUCUGUCUCUUUGUUUCUUCAGUGACACUCUCUAUGUCUUCCUUUUCCUUUUGUAGAUGAGCUUCCAUUUCCUUCAGUGUUUCUCUCUCCUUCUUUAUUCCCUCCUCCAUGUAUUUGAUUUGUUCGCUUUCAUUUUGCAGUUCUGCCUUACUUUGAGCUAAAAUUAAUUUUUCAUCAGUGAUCUUUUGCCUUUCGAGGUCAAGUUCUUCUUUCUGGAGUUUAAUAUAAUUUCUCUGCCCUUCUACUUUAUCCAUUAAUUUCUGAACUAUUUCUUUGUUCUUUUCAAUUUCAUCCUUUUCUAGAUCAAUAUCUUGUAUUUUCUGGACAAGUGCUGAUUUCUCUAGUUUGAUUGCUUCUCUCAUGUCUUCCAUUUGCUUUCUUUCUGUCAUAAUGUCAGACCUUAUCUUUUGGAGGUCUUUUCUUUCCUGUUCAAACAUCUUCUUAUCAUUGUCCAUUUCAGUUUUCUCUCGUUCCAGUUCCCUUAUUAUCUGAUCAAGUUCUUCUUUCUCUAUCUUUGCUUUUACUCUCAUUUCUUCUUCUUUCACUUUUUCUUUAAUAAAAUGUUCUUGCAGAGUGUUCAACUCUUGUAAUUGUUGGCUUAUGUCUUGUUGUUCCUGCUCAGCUUUAGUCUUCAGCUCCAUGAUCUUGACUUUGGUCUGUUCUAGACCUUUUCUUUCUUCUUCCAUCUCAUUCUGUUUCAUGAAAUCUUGUUCCUUCUGUUGCCUGGCUUGAGUAUCAAAUUCAUCAAUUCUCUGUUGUAACUCUGUCCAUUUAUGGUUUAUUUCUUCUCUUUCUUGUUCUAGAAGGUCUCUGCUGUUCUUCAUCUCUUGUUUUUGUUUAUCCAGAUCCUCUUUCUGUCUCUUUGUUUCUUCAGUGACACUCUCAAUGUCUUCCUUUUCCUUUUGUAGGCGAGCUUCCAUUUCCUUCAGUGUUUCUCUCUCCUUCUUUAUUCCCUCCUCCAUGUAUAUGUUUUGUUCAGUUUGUUUUUGCAGCUCUGUCUUACUUUGAGCUAGAAUUAAUUUUUCAUCAGUGAUCUUUUGUCUUUCGAGGUCAAGUUCUUCUCUUUGGAGUUUCAUAUAAUUUCUCUGCUCUUCUACUUUAUCCAAUGAUUUCUGAACUAUUUCUUUGUUCUUUCCAAUUUCAUCCUUUUCUAGAUCAAUAUCUUGUAUUUUCUGGACAAGUGCUGAUCUCUCUAGUUUGAUUGCUUCUCUCAUGUCUUCCAUUUGCUUUCUUUCUGUCAUGAUGUCAGACCUUAUCUUUUGCAGGUCUUUUCUUUCCUGUUCAAUCAUCUUCUUAUCAUUGUCCAUUUCAGUUUUCUCUCGUUCCAGUUCCUUUAUUAUCUGAUCGAGUUCUUCUCUCUCUAUCUUUGCUUUUACUCUCAUUUCUUCUUCUUUCUCUUUUUCUUUCAUAAUAUGUUCUUGCAGUGUGUUCAACUCUUGUAUUUUUAGUCUUAUGUCUUGUUGUUCCUGCUCAGCUUUAGUCUUCAGCUCCAUGAUCUUGACUUUGGUCUGUUCUAGACCUUUUCUUUCUUCUUCCAUCUCAUUCUGUUUCAUGAAAUCUUGUUCCUUCUGUUGCCUGGCUUGAGUAUCAAAUUCAUCAAUUCUCUGUUGUAACUCUGUCCAUUUAUGGUUUAUUUCUUCUCUUUCUUGUUCUAGAAGGUCUCUGCUGUUCUUCAUCUCUUGUUUUUGUUUAUCCAGAUCCUCUUUCUGUCUCUUUGUUUCUUCAGUGACACUCUCAAUGUCUUCCUUUUCCUUUUGUAGGCGAGCUUCCAUUUCCUUCAGUGUUUCUCUCUCCUUCUUUAUUCCCUCCUCCAUGUAUAUGUUUUGUUCAGUUUGUUUUUGCAGCUCUGUCUUACUUUGAGCUAGAAUUAAUUUUUCAUCAGUGAUCUUUUGUCUUUCGAGGUCAAGUUCUUCUCUUUGGAGUUUCAUAUAAUUUCUCUGCUCUUCUACUUUAUCCAAUGAUUUCUGAACUAUUUCUUUGUUCUUUCCAAUUUCAUCCUUUUCUAGAUCAAUAUCUUGUAUUUUCUGGACAAGUGCUGAUCUCUCUAGUUUGAUUGCUUCUCUCAUGUCUUCCAUUUGCUUUCUUUCUGUCAUGAUGUCAGACCUUAUCUUUUGCAGGUCUUUUCUUUCCUGUUCAAUCAUCUUCUUAUCAUUGUCCAUUUCAGUUUUCUCUUGUUCCAGUUCCCUUAUUAUCUGAUCGAGUUCUUCUCUCUCUAUCUUUGCUUUUACUCUCAUUUCUUCUUCUUUCUCUUUUUCUUUCAUAAUAUGUUCUUGCAGUGUGUUCAACUCUUGUAUUUUUAGUCUUAUGUCUUGUUGUUCCUGCUCAGCUUUAGUCUUCAGCUCCAGGAUCUUGACUUUGGUCUGUUCUAGACCUUUUCUUUCUUCUUCCAUCUCAUUCUGUUUCAUGAAAUCUUGUUCCUUCUGUUGCCUGGCUUGAGUAUCAAAUUCAUCAAUUCUCUGUUGUAACUCUGUCCAUUUAUGCUUUAUUUCUUCUCUUUCUUGUUCUAGAAGGUCUCUGCUGUUCUUCAUCUCUUGUUUUUGUUUAUCCAGAUCCUCUUUCUGUCUCUUUGUUUCUUCAGUGACACUCUCAAUGUCUUCCUUUUGCUUUUGUAGACAAGCUUCCAUUUCCUUCAGUGUUUCUCUCUCCUUCUUUAUUCCCUCGUCCAUGUAUUUGUUUUGUUCAGUUUGUUUUUGCAGCUCUGUCAUACUUUGAGCUAGAAUUAAUUUUUCAUCAGUGAUCUUUUGUCUUUCGAGGUCAAGUUCUUCUUUCUGGAGUUUAAUAUAAUUUCUCUGCUCUUCUACUUUAUCCAUUAAUUUCUGAACUAUAUCUUUGUUCAUUUCUGUCUCAUCCUUUUCUAGAUCAAUUUCUUGCAUUUUCUGGUCAAGUGCUGAUCUCUCUAGUUUGAUUGCUUCUCUCAUGUCUUCCAUUUGCUUUCUUUCGGUCAUGAUGUCAGACCUUAUCUUUUGCAGGUCUUUUCUUUCCUGUUCAAUCAUCUGCUUAUCAUCGUCCAUUUCUGUUUUCUCUCGUUCCAGUUCCCUUAUUAUCUGACCGAGUUCUUCUCUCUCUAUCUUUGAUUUUACUCUCAUUUCUUCUUCUUUCUCUUUUACUUUCAAAAUAUGUUCUUGCAGAGUGUUCAACUCUUGUAAUUGUUGGCUUAUGUCUUGUUGUUCCUGCUCAGCUUUAGUCUUCAGCUCCAGGAUCUUGACUUUGGUCUGUUCUAGACCUUUUCUUUCUUCUUCCAUCUCAUUCUGUUUCAUGAAAUCUUGUUCCUUCUGUUGCCUGGCUUGAGUAUCAAAUUCAUCAAUUCUCUGUUGUAACUCUGUCCAUUUAUGGUUUAUUUCUUCUCUUUCUUGUUCUAGAAGGUCUCUGCUGUUCUUCAUCUCUUGUUUUUGUUUAUCCAGAUCCUCUUUCUGUCUCUUUGUUUCUUCAGUGACACUCUCAAUGUCUUCCUUUUCCUUUUGUAGAUGAGCUUCCAUUUCCUUCAGUGUUUCUCUCUCCUUCUUUAUUCCCUCCUCCAUGUAUUUGUUUUGUUCAGUUUGUUUUUGCAGCUCUGUCAUACUUUGAGCUAGAAUUAAUUUUUCAUCAGUGAUCUUUUGUCUUUCGAGGUCAAGUUCUUCUUUCUGGAGUUUCAUAUAAUUUCUCUGCUCUUCUACUUUAUCCAUUAAUUUCUGAACUAUUUACUUUGUUCUUUCCAAUUUCAUCCUUUUCUAGAUCAAUAUCUUGUAUUUUCUGGACAAGUGCUGAUCUCUCUAGUUUGAUUGCUUCUCUCAUAUCUUCCAUUUGCUUUCUUUCUGUCAUGAUGUCAGACCUUAUCUUUUGGAGGUCUUUUCUUUCCUGUUCAAACAUCUUCUUAUCAUUGUCCAUUUCAGUUUUCUCUCGUUCCAGUUCCCUUAUUAUCUGAUCAAGUUGUUCUCUCUCUAUCUUUGCUUUUACUCUCAUUUCUUCUUCUUUCACUUUUUCUUUCAUAAUAUGUUCUUGCAGUGUGUUCAACUCUUGUAAUUGUUGGCUUAUGUCUUGUUGUUCCUGCUCAGCUUUAGUCUUCAGCUCCAGGAUCUUGACUUUGGUCUGUUCUAGACUUUUUCUUUCUUCUUCCAUCUCAUUCUGUUUCAUGAAAUCUUGUUCCUUCUGUUGCCUGGCUUGAGUAUCAAAUUCACCAGCUCUCUGUUGUAACUCUGUCCAUUUAUGCUUUAUUUCUUCUCUUUCUUGUUCUAGAAGGUCUCUGCUGUUCUUCAUCUCUUGUUUUUGUUUAUCCAGAUCCUCUUUCUGUCCCUUUGUUUCUUCAGUGACACUCUCAAUGUCUUCCUUUUCCUUUUGUAGGCGAGCUUCCAUUUCCUUCAGUGUUUCUCUCUCCUUCUUUAUUCCCUCCUCCAUGUAUUUGUUUUGUUCAGUUUGUUUUUGCAGCUCUGUCAUACUUUGAGCUAGAAUUAAUUUUUCAUCAGUGAUCUUUUGUCUUUCGAGGUCAAGUUCUUCUCUCUGGAGUUUCAUAUAAUUUCUCUGCUCUUCUACUUUAUCCAUUAAUUUCUGAACUAUUUCUUUGUUCUUUUCUGUUUCAUCCUUUUCUAGAUCAAUAUCUUGUAUUUUCUGGACAAGUGCUGAUCUCUCUAGUUUGAUUGCUUCUCUCAUGUCUUCCAUUUGCUUUCUUUCUGUCAUGAUGUCAGACCUCAUCUUUUGCAGGUCUUUUCUUUCCUGUUCAAACAUCUUCUUAUCAUUGUCCAUUUCAGUUUUCUCUCGUUCCAGUUCCCUUUUUAUCUGAUCAAGUUGUUCUCUCUCUAUCUUUGCUUUUACUCUCAUUUCUUCUUCUUUCAAUUUUUCUUUCAUAAUAUGUUCUUGCAGUGUGUUCAACUCUUGAAAUUGUUGGCUUAUGUCAUGUUGUUCCUGCUCAGCUUUAGUCUUCAGCUCCAGGAUCUUGACUUUGGUCUGUUCUAGACCUUUUCUUUCUUCUUCCAUCUCAUUCUGUUUCAUGAAAUCUUGUUCCUUCUGUUGCCUGGCUUGAGUAUCAAAUUCAUCAAGUUUCUGCUGUAACUGUGUCCAUUUAUUGUUCAGUUCUUCUCUCUCCUGCUCUAGAAGAUCUCUGUAUUUACUCAACUCUUGUUUUUGUUCAUUUAUGUUUGUGCUAAUCUUUUCCAGAUCCUCUUUCUGUCUCUUUGUUUCUUCAGUGACACUCUCAAUGUCUUCCUUUUGCUUUUGUAGACAAGCUUCCAUUUCCUUCAGUGUUUCUCUCUCCUUCUUUAUUCCCUCCUCCAUGUAUUUGUUUUGUUCAGUUUGUUUUUGCAGCUCUGUCUUACUUUGAGCUAGAAUUAAUUUUUCAUCAGUGAUCUUUUGUCUUUCAAGGUCAAGUUCUUCUUUCUGGAGUUUUAUAUAAUUUCUCUGCUCUUCUACUUUAUCCAUUAAUUUCUGAACUAUUUCUUUGUUCUUUUCAGUUUCAUCCUUUUCAAGAUCAAUCUCUUGCAUUUUCUGGUCAAGUGCUGAUCUUUCUAGUUUGAUAGUCUCUUUCAAGUGUUUUUCCAUUUGUUCUCUUUCUGUCAUUGUUUCAGACCGCAUCUUCUCCAGGUCUUCUCUUUCCUUUUUAAUCAUCUUCCUGUCGUUGUCCAUUUCAGUUUUCUCUUGUUCCAAUUCCCUCUUUAUCUGGUCAAGUUCUUCUCUUUCCAUCUUUGCUUUUACUCUCAUUUCUUCUUCUUUCUCCUUUUCUUUCAUUAUAUGUUCUUGCAGUGUGUUCAACUCUUGUAUUUUUAGGCUUAUGUCUUGUUGUUCCUGCUCAGCUUUAGUCUUCAACUCCAGGAUCUUGACUUUGGUCAGUUUUAGACUUUUUCUUUCUUCUUCCAUCUCCUCCUGUUUUAUUAAAUCAUUUUCCUUCUGUUGUCUAACUUGAGUUUCAAAUUCAUCAAUUCUCUGCUGUAACUGUAUCCAUUUAUUGUGUAUUUCAUCUUUCUCUUGCUCUAGAACCUCUCUGUAUUUUCUCAGCUCUUGUUUUUGUUCAUUUAUAUUUGUGCUCAUCAUUUCCAGAUUUUCUUUUCGUCUAGUCGUUUCUUCAGUGACACUCUCAAGUUCUUCCUUUUCCUUUUGUAAAAGAGCUUCCAUUUCUUUCAGCGUUUCUCUCUCUUUCUUUAUUACCUCUUCCAUGCAUCUGAUUUCUUCACUCUCUUUUUGCAGUUUAGUCUUUAUUUGAGCCUGAAGAUCUUUUUCAUCAUUGAUCUUUUGUCUCUCAAGUUCAUGUUUUUCUUCAUGGAGUUUAUUAUAAUUUCUCUGUUCUUCUACCUCAUCUAGUAUCUUCUGUACAAUUUCUUUGCUCUUCUCAAUGUCACAUUUUUCUAGAUCAGUCUGUUUUAUUUUGUUGUCAAGGUUUGAUCUCUCUUCUUCUAUUUGCUUUCUUUGUAACAUUAUUUCAGACCUCAUUUUCUCCAGGUCAUUUCUUCCCUGUUCAAUAAUAUUUCUGUCAUCAUAUAUUUUCUUCUGCUCAUGAUUUAUUUCAGUUUUCUGUCUUUCCAGAUCACUCUUCAUCUGAUCAAGUUCCUCUCUCUCCAUCUUUAGUUUUACUCCCAUUUGUUGUCUAUAUUCUUCAGAUUCAUUCCUCAUAUUCUCCAGAUCUCUUCUCUCCUCAUUCACAGCUCUUAUACUCUUCUCCAGGCUUUGCUGCUGUUGAUUAAUUUCAGCCUUUUCAGUCUGUAACUCAUAUUUGAUUUCUUCCAUUCCGUCUCUUUGUUUUUCUAAUGUCUUCCGGAGAACAUCCAGCUCAUUCCACUUCUUCAUAAUGUCCUCUUUUUCUUUCUCUAUUUCAUUUCUCUGUCUCAAGAUUUCACCAGCCUUUUCCUCAAGAAGCUUUUUCUCAUCAUCCAUUGAUCUUUUACUCAUCUCUUCUUUUUCUUUUUGUUCUGUCAUGUUCAUCUCCAGGUCAUCAGCUCGUCUUUGCAAUUCUUCUUUUUCCUUUUCAAUGUUAUUUCUCUCUUUUUCCAGAUGGUCUUUCUCAGUCUUAAUCAGUUGAUUUUGCUCUUCUAUGUCAUCAAUAGUCUUUUCUAGUUCACUUUUCUUCCUCUUAUUUUCUUCCAUGGUAUUGGCACAUUGAUCCAUCAUUUGUUUAAGGUGGGACUCCCUUAUCUCCAUAUUUUCUUGCUCUCUUUUGAUCUCUUCUAAGACGUUUUUCAGAUUUUCAGCAUCAUUCUGCAUCUCAGAUUUUGUCUGGUCAACCAGUUUUCUUUCCUUUUGGAGUUUUUCUGCUUCAGUUUGGAUCACUUCUUGUUGUUCCACCAGCUUGGCUUUCGUGAUUUCCAGAUCUUUCGUUAACUUGUUAAUCAUGUUCCUGUUUUCACCAAUGUCUUCUUUUUCUCUUUGUAUUUCAUCUCUCAGUUGUGAAAGUUCUUCUUCCUGCUUUGCAAUAGUCUUCAUGUCCUCUUGCAUUCUUUGUCUCUGAGCUUCUAGUUCAGUCCUCAACUUAUCCAUUUCCCUUCUUUCUUCCGCUAUCUCUCUUACACUUUGAUCCAGUCUUUGCUGCUGCUCAGUAAUAUAUUUCUCUCUCUGCUCCAGCUCAGUCUUCUGAAUUAUCACUCUUUGUCUCAUUGAUUCUAUUUCAUCAUUUACCAUAUUUAUAUCAGCUUUCUCUUUUUCAGUUUGUUCUCUCUCAGUAAGAAGCUCUAUCUUAAUUUUUUCCAGUUUUUCUCUUUCUUUCUCUAGCUCUUCUAACUGGACUUGAACCUGAUCUUUCUGUUGUGUAGUCCAGAUCUGCAGAUCAUCUUUUUUCCGCUUCAUUUCUAUAUUUUCAUUGUCUAUUUCAUGCCGUAUCUUCUUAAGCAACUCAAAGUCCUUAUUGAUUUCUUGUUUUUGCAGUUCUAUAUCAACCUGCAUCUCUUCAAGGGCAUGUUGUCUCGUAUUGGUUUCCUCAUGAACUUUAUCUAAAUGUUCCUGUUCAGUGUGAAGCUGAGCAGCAAUUCCAUCUAAUUCUAUAUUUCUCUUCUCUACUUCCCUUUCCUUCCUCUGUAUGUUUAGCUCUUUUUCAUCAAGAGCAUUCUGCUUGUCUUGCAUGAGUUGCUUUUGUAGUUUAAUUGACUGAAUCUGAUGGUGUAUUUCAGCUUGCAUUUGUUCAACCUUGUCUCUUUCUUUGUUGGUCAUGUAUUUUGUGUUUUCCAUUUCUUCUUUGGCCUUCUGAAGUAUUUGCUUCUCUUCAUUCAUUUUUAUGAUGUUAAGCUGCAAUAUCUGUUUCUGCUGUUCAGUUUCAAAUCUCUGUUUUUCCAGAUCUUCUCUCUCUUUUUUGUUUUCCUCACUGGUUUGAUCAUUCUGUCGCUGCUGGUUGAGUACCUCGACUUGCCGUUCCUCAAUGCUUGAUUUUUCCAUAAUAAGUUUGUUCUUCAAAAUUUCAUUUUCAUUUUGCUUGUUCUUUAUCUCUGCUCUUAAAGCUUCUAGUUUGUUUCUUAACGUCAUCAAGUUAUCCCUCUCUUCCUCUGUUUCUUGUUUUUCACGAAGAAGUUCUUCCUUCAUCUCCUCAAGGGCCAGUCUGUCCUUUUGUAUCUGCUCAAUCUGGCCCAUCAUUUGUUUUUCCAAGUCUUUCUUUUCUUUGUCAAUAUCUGUCUUUUCUUUGUCAAUUUCUGUCUUUUCCUUUUCAAGCAUCACUUUUGUUUUCUCAAUUUCUUGCUUUUGUCUCUCCAUCUCCUUUAUCAUCUUAUCAAGAUCCCUCAUUUUCAUUUCAGUCUCUUCAGACAAACAUUUAAUUUCUUCUCUGUCUUUAUCUAGUUGAACUUUAAUUUCUCUUUCUUUCUCCUUUAGGUUGGUGUCUAUUAUUAUCAUUUUAUCUGUUUGUAUCUUUAUCUCAGCUUUUGUCUUUUCAAGAUUAAAUUUAUCAUCUUGAAGUCGUUGAUUAUCCUUUUCGAUUUCUACUUUUGUUCUCUCCAGGUCAACCCUCAUUUGCAAUAAUUCUUCCAUUUCUUUAUCAUUAUUUUCUUUCUUACUUUUAAUGUCAUCUCUAAUUAUUUGCAACUCACUGUGAAGUUUGUUAGUUUCUUCCCUCUGUCUCUCUAAUUGUCUGAUUUCUUCCUCCACUCUUUGCUUUUCACCCUCAAUUUCCAGCCAGCAUUUCUCUUGAUCCUUUCUUUCCUUCUUGAUAACAUUUUGGAUCUCUUUGGAUUCUGCUCUUAUUUGUUCUAGUGCAUUCUUCUCAUCUUGUACAUUCAGUUUCUCAUGUCUUAGAUUUUGUAAUUGCUUCUCCAGAUCAUUUUUCAUGCUUUCAAGUUCAGCCUUCUCUUGAUCCAUCAACUUUUUGCUGAUUUCAAGCUGCUCUUUUUCUUUCUGUAUUUCUUCAGUCAGCUUUCGGUAUUCAUUGCAUUCUCUUGUAAUUGUUUCAUCCAUUUCCAUUAAUCGCUGUCUCUCCUCUUGAAUUUCGGCCUCCUUUCUUUCCAAAUUACUUUGAAUCUCCUUCUUGAUUUUAUACAUUUCAUCUUGAAUCUGUUUUAGCUGCUGCUGCUCUUCCAUGAAAGUUUUUACUUUGUUUUCAAGCUCACUUUCCUUUCUUUGCAGUUCUUCUCGAAGUGUAUCCAGUUUCUGUUUUUCUGAAUGUACAGUUUUCUUCUCUUUGUCAACAUCAUCUCUUUCCUUCAGAAUAUCCACCUCCAUUUGCUCUAGAGCCUCUUUGUGAUUUUGAAUCUCUUGUUUCGCCAUCUCAUCUUGUUCUUUCUGCUGUAAGGCUUUUCUUUCCAGGUCCUCUGUUUCUCUCACUAACACUUCCCUCUUAAGCUGCAGAUAUGUCAUUUCCCUUUCAUAAACAUCUCUGUCGUUUUUCAGUUGUAUCUUAUCAUCUUGAAGUUUUGCACUCAUUAUACUGAGAUCUUUCUUCUUGGUCUCUAUUUCGGUGAUGAUAUUCUCUAUAUCUUCUCUUUGUGUUUGAAGUUUUAAACUGAGGUCUGUUAAUCUGUCCCUCUCGUUGUUUGCUUCCUGAAUGAGUCUGUCAGUGAUCUCUGACUUCUUCUGAAGCUCAGCAUUCUCUUGUUCAAUCAAAUGUCUCUCUGUGCUGACCAUCUGCUUCAUUUCUUCCACUUGCUCUUUUUCUUUGUUUAGUUCACUCUUCAUCUCCUGUAGUUUCUCCUCCAUUUUUGUAGCAUCAUGGAGUUUUUCAUCAAGUUUAGCCCUCUCGUUUUCUAGUUCAUUCCUCGUCUUUUCUAGAUUUUUCAGUUCCACAUCGUAAGCCUUCAUGGCAGCACUCACUUCAUGCCUUUGUUGAUUGAUUUCAGCUUGUUCAUCUUUGAACCAAUCCUUCUCCAUGAUCAAAGCAUGUUUUGAAGAUUCAACAUCAACUCUCUGUCUGUGUAGUUCACUUCUAGAGAGUUCCAGUUCUUGCUUCUCUUGCCUUAAAUUGUCCAUUUCUUUUUCUAUAUCUUCUUGCUUCCUCAGUAUUUCCAUGUUGAUCUUUUCAAGUGUAUCUUUCUUUUUCUCCAUUUCUUCAACAAUCCAACUUUUCUCUUCCAACUCAUGUUUCUGCUUCUCCAGUAUCCGCUCUCCCCUCUUUACUUCAGAAGUAAUGCCUUCCAGUUCAGCCUUUUUCUUUUCAUGCAGGGUUUUCAUGUCUUCCAUGGUUUGCCAUUGGUUUUGUAUGUCUCUGUUGAGCUGUUCCAGAUCACGCUUGUUUCUCAAGAGUUCCUUAGUGACCAUUUGCAGUUCUUCCUUGUUCUUUCUUGUAUCCUUAAACUCUUCCAUUAUUUCUUUAGCUAUUUCUACCUUAACCAGCUCUCUUUUGGUCUCCACAUCCUCCUUUUCUCUGUUUAUCUCAUCCUUCAACUGCUCCAGUUCUUCUUUUUCUUUCUGCAGCAUUUCUCUCAUGUUCUCUUCCACCUGUUGCUUUUCUGCAAGUUCUGCUCUCAUCUUCUCCAAUUCAUUCUUAUCUCUUCUGGUGGUUUCUAUCUCUUUUCUAAGGCUUCCAAGAUUUUCCCGUAUUUGUCCAAUAUCUUGAAUGAGCCUCUGGAUCUCAGACUUGAAGUUUUCCUUUUCAUCUCUCACCAACUUACUUUCCUCCAUCCUGCUCUCCAUGUCAACUUUAAGAUUUCUCACCAUUUCCCUGAUUUUUACAACCUCUAAAAUUAGUCUUUGGAUGUCAGCAUUGGUGCUUUCCUCAUCUUCUAGAUUCACAGUUUUCUCCACCAAUAGCUCAAAAUCCUCUCUUGCACAUUGAACAUCAUUUCUGAGUAUUUCCAGCUCCUGCCGCUCUCUGUUGAUCUCCUCUCUUUCCUUUGCUAUCUCAGUCUUCAUUUUCUCCACCUCAUCCCUCUUUCUUAUCACUUGUUUCAUCUUCUGGUCCAGAUCUUUCUUUUCUAGGAAUAUUUCAGACCUUAAGACUUCCAGUUCUCCCUUCUCAUGCAUCAUUUUCUGAAUCCUUGUUUCUAGGACUUCUCUCUGGCUCUGUAUAUCCAUCAGCUCCACCUCUCUAGUGUCCUUUUCAUGUUGUAAUAUCUCAGACCUCAUGUUUUCUAGCUCAUCCAUCUGAUGUUUUAAGCCUGCUUUAGUUUUCUGAAGUUCUACCUGCUGUUUAUCCAGCUCAGCCUUCAACUCUGUUAGUUUGUCUAUUUGUCUGUUAAUUUCAUCUGUCUGACUCUCACUCUCUUCUUGCUGGUCAUCCAUGCUUAAUGAUUCCAUUUUCUUCCUUAAUUCCUCUGAAUCUCUCCUCAUUUCUUUCUCUUUUCUGGAAUGUUUAACUGUUUGUACUGUGUUUUCUCUAGUUGUUUCUUCUAGAAGGUUUUUGAGAAUUUCAUAUUGCUGCUUCAUGUCAACGAUUUCUUUGUUCAGAAGUUCAUUUUCGUCAUGAAGUUUUUGUUUGUCCAAUGCCAUUUCUUGUUUUUGUCUCUCCAAAUCAGCUCUGUUUUGCUCAAGAUCACUUCGCUCUUUGCUCAACAAGUCUUUGGUACUCUCAAUUUGCUGCUUCUCUUUUUGUAUCUCCUUGUUCUGUUGCUCAUAGGUUUCCUUCAUGCUAUGUUUCAUGGCUUCGACUUCCAGCCUCAUGUUCUCCAGUUCAAAUCGUUCAUUUCUAGCAGCCUUGACUUCAUCUUUCAUUCUUCUGAGAACCUCUCUGACAUGUUCAAUUUCCUGGAUCAGCCUCUGCAUGUAAGCACUCAUUUCUUGCCUUUCCUCUGAAUCCGCUUGAACAUUAACAUCUCUCUGCAUGCUUCUUUCCAGGUCAUGUUUUGUUCUCCAGGCCAUUUCCCUAGUCUUUUCAGCCUCUUGAAUAAGCCUCAGUAUCUUGGUGUUUAUUUGUUCUUUCUCUUCCAGAUCUCCACCUCUUUCUUCCGUAUGAGAUAGUAGUUCCUCUCCUGCUCGUUGUUUCUCAGCUUUCAUUCGCUCCAUGUCCUCACGCUCUAUACUUAACAUGACUCUGUCCAUUUCCAGUUUCUCAUUUGCACUUUCAAUAUCAGCUCUCAUUUUCUCCAGCUCAUCUCUCUUUCUCGCUGCCUGUCUCAUCUUGUGAUCAAGAUCUUUCCUCAUGCUAUCAGUUUCAUCCUGAAGAAGCUUCAAUUCUUUCAUCUCAUGUUUAGUCUUUUGCAUCUUGUCCUCUAAUUCAUCUUUCUGUUUGAGUAUUUCAGCUCUCAUACCAAUGAGUUCCUCUACUUGUGAUUGUCUUUUAGUCUCAAACUCUUCUUUUUGGAUUAAAAUAUUUGAUUUGAUCUCCUCAUAUUUCUCCAUUUCUUUUGUAGCCUCUCUCAACAUUUCAUCAUUUGCUUUUCUUUCUUUUGCUAACUUAGCUUUCAUUUGCUCUAGUUGAAUUCUUUCAUCUUGAAUAUCCUGUUUUUGAACUUUUAUCUCCUCUAAUUCUUUAUGUAGAUUUGAUUUAUUUUGUUCCAUAUCAUCUAUGUCUCGUUUCAGUUGCGUUCUGCUUUUCUCAGUCAAUUCCUUUUCAUCCAAAAGCUCUUUCCUCAGCUGUUCCACAUUUUCAAUGUCUUUCUUUAGUGUCUCCAUCAGCUGACGCUGCUCUAACAGUUCACCUCUUUCUCUCUCCAGGUCAUGUUUUUGCUUUAAGAUCUCCACACUUAUCUGAUCAAGACUAUCUCGCUUUUUCUGCAGGUCUGCACGUUUGAUGUCACUCUCCUCGGAUUGUCUUUUGAAAUCUUCCUUGGUUUUUUCCAGAUCCAUCUUUUCCUUUGUAACAAUUGCUUUGUCUACAGCAAUGGCUUGUUUUUGUCUUUGUAUCUCAGCUUGUAUUUCAUCCAGGGUGUCAUUUUUCAUUUUGAUCUCCUUAACAAAUUGUUGUCUCUCUUUUUCUAACUCUUCUGCAGUCCUCUGACCUUCUUUCUGAACUUCUAGCUUUAACUUCUUAAUAUCCUCUCUCUUCUUUUCCAGCUCAUCUUGUUCAUUUUUAAAAGCUUGUUUCAUAUUUUGGAGGUUUUCCAAGUCUCUAGCCAACUCGGCUCUCUUUUGUUCCAGAUUCUCAAAAUCAUCCUUUUCUUUUAUUAUGUUGCUUUUCAUGUCAUCCAUUUCUUUUUGUUUAUUUUGAAGUUCUGUUCUCAUUUGUUCUAGUUCACUCUCUUUGUGUUGUAAUUGUUCCUUCUCAUCUUCAAUUUGAGCUAUUUGUCUCAAGUUAUCUGUACUCAUUUGCUUCAGAAUGUCUUUAUCUGUCUGUAAGUCAGUUCUUUGUCUGUCUAGUUCUUCCAUGGCUUGGUUUAUCUCUGCCUUGGUUUUCUCCAGCUCAGAUCUUUCUUCUUGAAGCAAGUCUUUGGCAGACUGAAUAUCCUUUCUUUGUUUCUCUGUCUCAUCCAUGAGCUCUUCCGCCUGUUGGUAGUCCGCUGGAAUACCACUGACGUCUAAUUGCUUUUUAAAUUUGGCUGCCAUCUCUUCUGCCCUCCAUCUUUCAUUCUUUGUCUUCUCAGAUAGUUUCUCCAAGUCUUCAGCUUGUCUUUGAAGGUCGCUUUUCAUCCUCUCUAGUUCCUCCUUCUCAUUUUCAAAGGUGUGUUUCUCAACUUUUAGAUUCUUUAAUUCUUUCUCCAUAUCCAUUUUUUGCCUCUCCAUAAGAUCCAAAUUUUUGGUCAACACCUCUCUGUCUUUUUCAACCUGAUCCUUUUCCUCCAGUAAUUUUAGUCUCAGUUGUUCACAGGUCUCCUUUUCUUCCUCUAGACUGACCAUCUCUCUCUCUACAUUUCUCUUCUGUGCCAUCAUUUCCACUCUGUCUCUUUCUACGUUGGUCAUUUCUGUCUUUGUGAAUUCCAUUAGAUCAUCAACCUCUCGCUGUAAUAGAUCAACGUCAGUUUGUCUCUGGUCCAGUUGACUCAUUUCCAUCAUAAUUGUGUUUUUCAGUUCAUCCAUUUCAUCCUGUUGUUGUAAAAUGGUUUCCUGCAGCUUUGCAAGUUCACUUUCUCUGCGAGAAAGGCUUUCAUUCGCUUUUUGAAUAGUAUCCACUUGUUUCGAGAUGUUCGCCCUCAUUUCUUCAAGAGCGUCUCUCUCUGUCCGCAUCUCUUUUAUUGACAUCUCAUUCCUUUCUUGCUGUUCUGCAAGAAGUUUGUUGGCUUUAGCAAUUUCUGUUUUGAUUUUCUCUAAAUCAGUCUUCUCCAUUUCAAACUCAGUUGCUUGCUUUUGUUGAUUACAUUUUUGGAUAUUAAUCUCCUCAUUAAGGCUUUCAAGAUUUCUUCUCUCUUCCUGAAGUUGAGCUGACAUUUCUUCUAGCUUCUGUCUUUCAUUGUGCAUGUCCUGCUUUUCCUUUUCAAUGUGUUCAGCUUCCCUUUUCAGUUCAGCUCUCAUCUGUUCCAGUUUGUCCUUUUCAUCUUGAAUAAACGUCUUCUCUAACAUCAUCUCCUGUUUAUGAGGUAAAUCCUCAGCCUCAGGUAAGUCUGACUUUUGGCUCUCAACAUCUGUUUCUAAUGCAUCUUUUAAGUCCAUUUCCAGCAUCUGCUCCAUCAAGACACAUUUCCCAUCUGAAUCUGACAUUUCUUUGUCUGUUAAGGAUUUGACUGCAUCCACGUCACUCUUUUGAAGAAACAUUUUAGCCUCUGACUUCUCAAGUAGACUCUCUUCUGUUAUGCCAAAUCUCAGGUGAUCAAUAUUUUCUUGUUUUCUUUUGAUGUCUGCCCGCAUUCUUUCAAGAUCUUCCUUUUCUAUUUGCAACUCUUGCUUUUCAUCUUCAAGUGCCAUUUUUUCUCUUCUUAUAUUCCCAAUCAUCUGUUCAAGCAUGUUUCUCUCUUCAUGCAUCUCUGCCAGUGUGAUCUCAAUGUUUGUUUUUUGUUCAGAAAGCUGUUUUUCAAGCUCUUCCUUGGUUUGAGACAUCUCAGCUUUGGUUUUCUCUAGGUCAGACCGUUCCCUUCUAAUCAAGUCUUUGCCUCUCACCAUUGCUUCUUGUUCCCUUUGUAUUUCAGUAUAGCUUUCAUCCAGAAUACCUCCCUUCUUUUUAAUUUCCUCCAUGAGAUCACUGAUUUCUUUCCUCUCUUUCUGGAGUUGAGCUGUCAUUUCCUCCAGUUUUUGUCUUUCAUCUUGUGUUUUUAAUUUGAUCUUCUCGAACUCUUGUGUCUCUCUUUGCAGGUCAGUUUUGAUCUUUUUUAUUACUUCCUUCUCAUUCUCCAAAGCUUCUCUCUCAUGUUUCAGACUCUCUGAGUCUCUGUCUACAUUAACUAGUUUUUGUUGCAGAUCUUCCAUGUCUCUCUUCAGCAGUUGUUUUUCAUUUUUCAGUAUUUCCUGAUUAGUCAAUACCUCCUUCAUCUGAAGCUCAACAUCUUCAGACUUCUUUCUCAGCUCAGUCAUCAUGUCCUGUUUUUCUCUGAUCAUUGCAGCUUUUUGAGUUUCAGCAAUGCUCUUUUCAUUCUUUGCGAUCUCCACAAUGUCAUGCAGCUCCUUCUGUUGUAUUUCUAUUUCAGUCUCUCUGAGAUCAAGCUGCUGCUUCUCAGUCAUGAUGAUUUCUUUGAGGUUUUUCAAUUCACAUUGUUGUUUUUGAUUCUCUGCUUGUAGUUGCUCUAGUUCAUCUUGUCUGAUUUUAUUUUGUCUUUCUCAUUUUCAAGAUCAUCAAUUUGUUUGGAGAUGUUCAGUCUCAUUUCCUUAAGGUUGUUUUUCUCUCUUUGUAGAUCUGCCAUUGAAGACUCACUUGCAGCUUUCAUUUCAUCCAGAAUCUCAUGUUUUCUCUUUGUAUCUUCAGCAAGAUGAACAAUAUUUUCUUUCUCUUUCUCAAGUUCUUCAGCCAUCUUUUCCAAACUCUGUCUCUCAUUUUGUGUUUCUUCUUUGAGCUUUCUGAUAUCAUCAGCUUCUCUUUGCAGAUCAAUCUUCAUCUGUUCUAACUUGUUCUUCUCAUCUUCAGUCACUUGUUUUUGAAGUGUCAUGAUCUUUAGGUCUUCAGUCAGAUCUUUUCUACUUUGGUCUACAUCAUCUCUUUCUUUCUUCAGUUGCUGUUUCUGUUUUUCAAUCUCUUUGUUUUAUCUUUAUCUAGUUGGCUUCUCUCAUUUCUCAUUUUUUCCAUAAUGUCACUCACUUCUGUCUGUUGUUUGUCUAGCUCAGACUGUCUCAGAUCAAGCUGACUUCUGUCUUUUAUUAUAAUAUUUCUGUCAUUGUCUAGUUCCUGUUUCUGAUUCUGAAUUUCAGUUUUCAGUUGUUCGAGUUCAUGUUGUUUUUGUCUUAUUUGUUCCUCUUGAUUUUUAAUUUCAUGUAUUUGUCUUGUGAUGGUCUCAUUCAUCUCCUUUAGGUUGUCUCUCUCUUUCUGUAUCUCUGCCUGUAUGAUUUCUUUCUCUUCUGCUUGCUCAGCAAAUAGUUUUUCAAGAUCUUCUUUGAUUUUAGCAAUUUCAUGUUUGGUUUUCUCCAAUUCAUGUUUUUCCUUUUCAAUCAUGUCUCUAUCAGAUUGAAUGGCUUUAGUUUUCACUUCAAUUUCUGUGUUCAUUUCAUCCAAGACCAUGUCUCUUCUUUUGGUCUUCUCAAAGAGGCUUUCAGUUUCUUCUCUCUCUUUCUGGAGUUGAGCUGUCAUUUCCUCCAGUUUUUGUCUUUCGUCUUGUGUUUGUAGUUUGAUCUUCUCGAACUCUUGUGUCUCUCUUUGCAGGUCAGUUUUGAUCUUUUUUAUUACUUCCUUCUCAUUCUCCAAAGCUUCUCUCUCAUGUUUCAGACUCUCUGAGUCUCUGUCUACAUUAACUAGUUUUUGUUGCAGAUCUUCCAUGUCCCUCUUCAGCAGUUGUUUGUCGUUUUUCAAUAUUUCCUGUUCAGUCAAUAGCUCCUUCAUCUGAAGCUCAACAUCUUCAGACUUCUUUCUCAGCUCAGUCAUCAUGUCCUGUUUUUCCCGGAUCACUGCAACUCUUUCACUUUCAAUGUUGUUCUUUUCCUUUUUCAUUUCAUUUUGUUGUUUAUGAAUCUCUGCUUGUAGUUGCUCUAGUUCAUCUUGUCUCAGUCUUAUUUUCUGUUUGUCAUUUUCAAGAUCAUCAAUUUGUUUUGGAGAUGUUCAAUCUCAUUUGCUCAAGGUUGUUUUUCUCUCUUUGUAGAUCUGCCAUUGAAGACUCACUUGCAGCUUUCAUUUCAUCCAGAAUCUCAUGUUUUCUCUUUGUAUCUUCAGCAAGAUGAACAAUAUCUUCUUUCUCUUUCUUAAGUUCUUCAGCCAUCUUUUCUAAACUCUGUCUCUCAUUUUGUGUUUCUUCUUUGAGCUUUCUGAUAUCAUCAGCUUCUCUUUGCAGCUCAGUCUUCAUCUGUUCUAACUUGUUCUUCUCAUCUUCAGUCACUUGUUUCUGAAGUGUCAUCAUCUUUAUGUCUUCAGUCAGAUCUUUUCUACUUUGGUCUACAUCAUCUCUUUCUUUCCUCAGUUGCUGUUUCUGUUCUUCCAUCUUUUGUUUUUCUUCAUCUAGUUGGCUUCUCUCAUUUCUCAUUUUUUCCAUAAUGUCACUCACUUCUGUCUGUUGUUUGUCUAGCUCAGACUGUCUCAGAUCAAGCUGACUUCUGUCUUUUAUUAUAAGGUUUCUGUCAUUGUAUAGUUCCUGUUUCUGAUUCUGAAUUUCAGUUUUCAGUUGUUCGAGUUCAUGUUGUUUUUGUCUCAUUUGUUCCUCUUGAUUUUUCAUAUCAUGUGUUUGUCUUGUGAUGGUCUCCUUCUUCUCCUCUAGGUUGUCUCUCUCUUUCUGUAUCUCUGCUAGUAUGAUUCCUUGCUGUUCUCUUUCUUUUUCUAGAUCCUCCUUUGCUUUAGCAAGUUCAUGUUUCAUUUUCUCGAGAUCAUGCAUUUCCUUCUCAAUCAUGUCUCUAUCAGAUUUGAAUUUCUUUCAUUUUAACUUGAAUUUCUUUGUUCUUUCCUUUGGUCUCCUCAAUAAGAUCAUUGAUUUCUUUUCCUCUCUUUCUGGAGUUGAGCUGUCAUUUCCUCCAGUUUUUGUCUUUCAUUUGUGUUUGUAGUUUGAUCUUCUCGAACUCUUGUGUCUCUCUUUGCAGGUCAGUUUUGAUCUUUUUUAUUACUUCCUUUUCAUUCUCCAAAGCUUCUCUCUCAUGUUUCAGACUCUCUGAGUCUCUGUCUACAUUAACUAGUUUUUGUUGCAGAUCUUCAUGUUUCUCUUCAGCAGUUGUGUAUCAUUUUUCAAUAUUUCCUUUUCAGUCAAUAUCUGCUUCAUCUGAAAGCUCAACAUCUUCAGACUUCUUUCUCAGCUCAGUCAUCAUGUCCUGUUUUUCUCUGAUCAUUGCAGCUUUUUGAGUUUCAGCAAUGCUCUUCUCAUUCUUUGCGAUCUCCACAAUGUCAUGCAGCUCCUUCUGUUGUUUUUCUAUUUCAGUCUCUCUGAGAUCAAGCUGCUGCUUCUCAGUCAUGAUGAUUUCUUUGAGGUUUUUCAUUUCACUUUGUUGUUUUUGAUUCUCUGCUUGUAGUUGCUCUAGUUCAUCUUGUGUGAGUCUAAUUUUCUCUUUCUCAUUUUCAAGAUCAUCAAUUUGUUUAGAGAUGUUCAAUCUCAUUUCCUCAAGGUUGUUUUUCUCUCUUUGUAGAUCUGCCAUUGAAGACUCACUUGCAGCUUUCAUUUCAUCCAGAAUCUCAUGUUUUCUCUUUGUAUCUUCAGCGAGAUGAACAAUAUCUUUCUUUCUCUUUCUCAAGUUCUUCAGCCAUCUUUUCUAAAUUCUGUCUCUCAUUUUGUGUUUCUUUUUUGAGCUUUCUGAUAUAUCAGCUUCUAUUUGCAGCUCAAUCUUCAUCUGUUCUAACUUGUUUUUCUCAUCUUCAGUCACUUGUUUCUGAAGUGCCAUCAUCUUUAGUUCUUCAGUCAGAUCCUUUCUUCGUUGGUCUUCAUCAUCUCUUUCUUUCUUCAGUUGCUGUUUCUGUUUUUCAAUCUCUUCUUUGUCUUUAUCUAGUUGGCUUCUCGCAUUUCUCAUUUUGUCCAUAAUGUGACUCACUUCUGUCUGUUGUUUGUCUAGCUCAGACUGUCUCAGAUCAAGCUGACUUCUGUCUUUUAUUAUAAUAUUUCUGUCAUUGUCUAGUUCCUGUUUCUGAUUCUGAAUUUCAGUUUUCAAUUGUUCGAGUUCAUGUUGUUUUUGUCUCAUUUGUUCCUCUUGAUUUUUCAAAUAACGUGUUUGUCUUGUGAUGGUCUCCUUCUUCUCCUCUAGGUUGUCUUUCUCUUUCUGAAUCUCUGCUAGUAUGAUUCCUUGCUUUUCUCUUUCUUUUUCAAGAUCCUCCUUUGCUUUAGCAAGUUUCCUUUUGAUUUUCUCAAGAUCGUGCAUUUCAUUCUCAAUCAUGUCUCUAUCAAAUUGAAUUUCUUUCAUUUUAACUUGAAUUUCUUUGUUCAUUUCAUCCAAGACCAUAUCUUUCACUUUUUUCUUCUCAGUAAGAUCAUUGAUUUCUUCUCUCACUUUCUGGAGUUGAGCUGUCAUUUCCUCCAGUUUUUGUCUUUCAUCUUGUGUUUGUAGUUUGAUCUUCUCGAACUCUUGUGUCUCUCUUUGCAGGUCAGUUUUGAUCUUUUUUAUUACUUCCUUCUCAUUCUCCAAAGCUUCUCUCUCAUGUUUCAGACUCUCUGAGUCUCUGUCUACAUUAAUUAUUUUUUGUUGCAGAUCUUCCUUGUCUCUCUUUAACAGUUGUCUAUCAUUUUCCAACAUUUCCCUUUCAGUCAAUAUCUGCUUCAUCUGAAGCUCAACAUCUUCAGACUUCUUUCUCAGCUCAGACAUCAGGUCCUGUUUUUCCCUGAUCUCUUUUUGCAGAUUUUCUAAUGUGGACUCAUGUAAUACUUUCAUUUCAUCAAGAAUCUCAUUCUUUCUCUUUGUAUCUUCAGCAAGAUGAACAAUAUCUUCUUUCUCCUUCUGAAGUUUUUCAGCCAUCUUUUCCAAACUCUGUCUCUCAUUUUGUGUUUCUUCUUUUAGCCUUCUCAUAUCUUCAGUUUGUCUUUGCAGCUCAAUCUUCAUCUGUUCUACGUCAUCCUUCUCAUUUCGAAUAGCUUUUUUAUGAUAUUGAAGCUCCUUUAUCUCUCUGUCUAGGGCUGCUCUUUUUUCAUUUAUGUCAUUAUUCAGUUCUGCCUUCAAGAGCUCCAGUUCAGUCUCCAUUUGGUGUUUCUGUGUUAGCAUUUCAGACUUCUCUUUUUCAAUAUAAGCCCUUUCUCCUGUUGUAAAUGCCAUGACUUCAUUUACCUUUCUCUGUUUUUGAUCUAUUUCAGUUUUCUUCUUUUCAAGUCUGUCUUUUUCCAUUGUGAGAGCUUUUCGUGAGGCUUCCAUUUCAUCUUGCUGCCUAUAAAUUAGAGCUUGGAGUUGUUCAAGUUCAGUCUGUCUCAUACUCAUUUGUUGUUUCUCAUUUGCAAUGUUGUCCUGUUGCUCUGAAAUACUAUCUCUCAGUAAAAGAAGCAUGUCUUUUUCUUUCUGUAUUUCUGCUAGUGUGAUCUUGUUCUUUUCUCUUUCUUCAACGAGCUGGGUUUCAAGAUCCUCCUUCGCUCUUGCUAUAUCUGUCAUCACCUUCUGCUCAUCUAUCUCUGUUUGCUCUUUCUGAAUUUCCAUUUUUAGACUUUGCAGCUCCGCUUGUUGGUAUCUUGUUUGUUCAAUGUCGUUUUCUAGAUCAUCUCUCUGUUGUGAUAUGUUCAUCCUUAACUGCUCAAGAAUGUGUUUCUCCUUCUGUAUCUCUGCCAGUGUUAGCUCAUUUUGUCUUUUAUGUGAUUCAAUUUGGUUCUCAAGAUCUUCUUUGGCUCUGGCUAUCUCUGCUUUAGUUUUCUCCAGGUCAGAUUUGUCCUUUUUAAGAGUGUCUCUAUCAGAUUCAAUUGUUUGUUUUUGUUUUCUUAGAUCUCCUUCCUCUGAUCUUAUUCUGGCAAAAGAAAUCUCUAUAUCUUCCUUCUCUUUUUGAAGGAUGAUCGCCAUUUCCUCAGCCUUCUGCCUGCCAUUUUCUAUGUCUUGCCUUAGUUUAGCAAUAAUUUCCUUUUCUUGUUGGAACUCAUUUUUCAUCUUAUCAAAUUCCUGCUUUUCUUUGCCAGUCAAUUGUUUCUGGUAGUUUAAGGUCUCAAACUCCUCAGCUAAGAUGGUUCUAUUUUCUUUUAUAUCCUCCAGAUCUUUGUUCAGUAUUUGCCUGCUGUUUUCAAUAGAUUCUUUUUCGUGGAGAACUUCUUGCUUCAUCAGCUCCACUGUUUCACUUUCCCUCUUCAGUUCUACUGCAAUGCCAUUCACUCUUUGUCUUUCUUCCAUUACAUUAGUCCUCUCUUUUUCAAGUCUGUCCAUCACACUCUCUAAUUCUCUCUUUUGCUUUUCCAUUUCAGCCUGUCUUUCAUUAAGCUGACUCUUUUCUUUCAUGAUAACAUCCUGAAUCUCUUCUAUUUCUUUCUGUUGUGCAUGAAGUUGUGAUGUUUGUAUAUUCAGGUCAUUUUCUUGGUGUCUCAAACUUUCCUUCACUAUUUUAAUACCAUGUUCCUCUUGUGAAAUGUUCAUCUUCAUUUGCUCAAGGGAAUUUCUCUGCUUCUCCAUCUCUAACCGAUCAAUAUCAUUCAUUUUUCUCUUUUCAGCAAGAUCGUCUUUUGCUCUCGCUAUGUCUCUUUUGCUUUUCUCCACUUCAAACUUCUGGUUUUCUAAUACAUCUUUUUCAGUCUCAAUGUCUUGCUUUUGUUUUUCUAGCUCAAGGCGCAUCCUCUCUAGAGCUUCUUUUCUGUAAUUUCCCUCAUGUUGAAUUUGAGCUGCCAUGUCUUUUAUACUCUGCUUUUCAGCUACCACCUCUUUCUUUAGUCUCUCAGUAUUGUCAGCCUCUUUCUGAAGGUCAGCUCUUAUCUGCUGUAUCUCUUUCUCAAACGAUUGCCUCUGAAACUGCAAGUUUUCAAAUUCUUUGUGCAGUUUGGCUUUAUUUUUCUCUAUGUCUUCCUCAUCCAUUUCUAGUGAUUUCAUCCGGCUUUCAAAUACUUCUUUUUGCUCAAUUAAAUAUCUCUUUUGGAGCUCCACAUUUUCAUAUGCCACCCUCAGUUCUUCUCUCAAAUUCUCCAUUUCCUGUCUCUCUUUCUCCAGAUCUGUCGCGUCUCUAUCUCUUGCAGUCUUAACGUAUUCUAUUUUUUCAUGUGCAACUGUCCAUUGUUGAUCUUGGUCAGCUUGCAUCUGCUCAACUUGCAUCUUUUCCAUUCUUAAACUGCUCUUUAACUCAUCUAUUUGUUUUUGUUUGUUUUCAACCUCUGCUUCUUUUUGUUUCAGUUCAUUUUCUCUCUGUCUUAAAUUUUCUUUAUCACUUUCAACGAUGCACCUUUGAUUUGAGAUGGUUUCACUCAUCUGGGUAAGAUUGUCUCUUUCUUUCUCUAUAUCUGCCAGUAUAAUAAUGUUCUGUUCUUUUUGCUGAGCAAAUUCAUCUUUGAGAUCUCUGAGCUUAGACUUUUCCUGUUCUAGCACAUCUCUCUCAGACUCAACAUAUCGCUUUUCUUUUUCAACCUCCAUGUGCAUCUCAUCCAGAGCUUUGGACCUCUUUUCAAUCUCUUCACCUAGACUAUCAGUGUAUUGUCUUUCUUUCUGAAUUUUGGCUUCUAUAUCUUUUACGUUUUGUAUGUCAUUCUGAACAGCUUGUCUUACAUUUUCAAUGACACCGGCUUCUUUUUGCAGAUCAGCUUUCAUGCCCUUCAAUAUCUCAAAUGCAUUUUCCUGCUUUUCUACAUCAGCUUUCAUUUUAUCCAGUUCCUCUAUCUGUCUUUUUGUCUCUUCUGAAAGGCUCACAAUGGCAUCUCUCUCUUUCUGAAGUUGCACAGCGGUGUUUUUAAGCUUCUGUCUUUCAGCUAGUGUAUCUUGUCUUAGCUUCUCAGUAUCUUCAGCUACUUGUUGCAGCACAGAUUCAGUCUGUUGCAACUUGCUUUUCUCUUCUGCAAUACUUUGUCUUUGUAAUUUUAUCUCCUCUGCCUGACUACCCAAAUUGAUUUUCUUCUGCUCCAGAUCUUCUAUAUCUCUCAGUAAAACUAUUCUGCAGUCCUCAAUAAGUCGCUUCUCAUUUAGUACCUCUAUUUUCACAAGCUCCACAGUUUCUAGUUCUCUGUUUAAUGUAUCUGUCAAGUUACUCUCCAUCUGCUGCUUCUGUUCCAUUAUAGCUGCCCUUUCUCUGUCAAGAUUGCCUUUUUCAUUUUGUGUGAACUGCCUGAUGGCUUCCGCCUGUUUUAGCUUUUCGGCUAUUUCAUCAUGGCUUUUCUGAAGUUGACUUUUUUGCAUUAAAACUAUAUUCUGAAUAUCCUGCACUUCUUUUUGUUGUCUGUUAAGAUCAGCCUGCAUUUGCUGCAGUUCAUUUUCUCUCUGCUUUAUUUCCUCCUUCUCAUUCUCAAAAUCAUCUUUUUGCUGUAAAAUGAGUACAUUUAUUUUCUCAAGUGUGUCUCUCUCCUUUUUGAUCUCCUUCAGUGUCCGCUCAUUCUCCUCUCUCAGGUUCUCUAGAUCGUUCUUUUCUCUCGCUAUUUCUGCUUGUAUCUGUUGCAUAUCACACCUUUUCUUUUCUAGUUCCUCCCUCUCUUGUUUAAGCUGCUCUGCCCAUUUCUUCAUGUUCUGUCUUUCUUUCUGCACAUCCUGUUUUAACCUUUCGAUAUCACUAGACUCUUUUUGCAGCUCAUAUUUCAUGUUCUGUAACAUUCCCUUUUCAUCCUCUAUCCUUUUUCUCUGAGCUUCUAUGUCUUCUAGUUCUUUAGCAAAAGUGUCUUUUAGGUCGGCCUCCAUGGUUUGCUUUUGUUUUUCUAUAUCCUGUCGAAUGUGAUUUAGAACAUCUCUGGCAUUUUCUAAUUCUGUUCUUAUCAUGUAUUCUUUUUCUCUGCUUUCUGUAAUCUCAGCCUGCAGGUCAUCCCAUCCUUUCUGUAUUUCUAGCUUUGUCCUUUCCACCUCAUCUUUUGUUCGUUCUAGCUCCUGUUUUCGCAGCUCUAAUUGUAACUCUAUGUCUGCUGUGUUUUUUGUAGCAGUUUGCAGUGCGGCUUCUUUGAGUGAUAAUUCAUCCUUGCUCAGUUUUAUUUCUGCCAGUUGUCUCUCAAUUGUACUUUUUUGUGCAAGUAAGUCUUCUUUAAAAUUCUCCAGAGCUUGUCGCUCUUUAUCCAGCUCCUCCAUAGUCAAGCUCAUCUGAUAUUUUCCUACAUCCUCCAUCACAUCAGUUUGGACUUGUACAUCAACUUGUUUAAUCUCCAUCAAUCUUGCCUUUUCUAAUUCACAUUUCUCUCUCUGUAGAUUUACGUCCAUACUCUCUAGUUCUUGUUUUCUUUGAUCUAGCUGCUUCUUCUCUUUCCAUAUUAUAUCUAAACCUCUCCGGUUUUCUUCUCUCUCUGAUUGCAGCAGUCUUUCCCAGUUUUGUAGACCCACUCGUUUCUUUUCCAUCUCAAUUUCCAUCUCUUGUAAUUUUGUCAUCCUCUCUUCAGCUUCAUUCUUUAUCGCUCGUACAUCCUCCUUUGUUUUCUCUAGUUCAUGUUUCUCUUUUAAAAUUAUUUCUUUAUAUUGUUCCAGUUCUUGUCUUUCUUUCUGUAUAUCACUCACAAAGUCUUCCACUUUAAUGGCAGCUGCUUCUUCUGUUUUUGCAUACUCCUGGCUCUCGGUUGGAAUGAUGGCUGGUUGAACCUGAAAUAAAUGGUUCUUGUUUGCAUUUGCAUCUCUGUCCCAAUAUUUUUUUUAGAUAUACUAUGUAGGCAGUAUACAGUUAUUCUGAACACAGUUCAUGAUCAACUUACUUUUCACAAUCUUGAGUAAAAAUUCAGUUUAAAUCCCUUUUAGCAUUUUAUACAACUUGAAAUGUUGACCCUAUUUACUUUCUUAAUACGUGUGUAUAAUUCAUUGUCAAGUCUUUGUCUAAUUCUUUUUCUCUUGUUUCACUCAAGAUUGUCAUGUUUAACUGUAAUAAGUUGCAUCCUUGCAAAAUAGGUUACGGAUGCUUCAUGUUGACUUUAAGAGUCCAUUUGCUGCCGUCAAUAUUGAUAAAGCAGAUAAAAUAAUGACACUGUUCAAUGCAAGUAAAUUAUGACUUACCUUUUCUUUGCCUGUCUUUUCUAGAGCAGUGAGUUCUUUCUGUCUCUUUAUCUCUUCUUUGGCCUGUGCUAUGUCCUCCAAAGCAUUUUUCACAUCUUCUCUCAUCUGCUCCAUCAUAUCAUUCUCUUUAAUGGUCUCCUCCAGCCUCUCCUCCAGUUCUUGUCUUUGUCGCUGCACCAUAUUUCUCACGAGUUCUAGUUCAUCUCGUUCUCUCAUAAUCCUUUCUUCUCUAUAUUCAAUCUCUCUUCUCCUUCGUUGAACUUCAUUCUUCAAUAGCCUCAUCUCAUCCCUGUCUCUCUUCAUCGUUUCCUUGUUGUAUUCUACCUCAGCCUUAAGACCUCGCAGCAUUUCCCGGAUGUGUUCAAUCUCCAAAAUGAGCCUGUGCAUCUCAGCAUUCAUCUCCUCUUGGACUGUUGUCUCCAUCUGACUUCCUGCCAUUCGACUUUCAAUCUGGAAUUUUGCUUUCCGCACCAUUUCUCUCGUCCCCUCAAUCUGCUGAAUAAGACUGAUUAUUGUGAGGUUCAUCUGUCCUUUCUCUUCUUCUAAAUCUCUCUCCUCCAUCCUAAGUUCAAACUCCUCUCUCGCUCUUUGGAUUUCAGCUUUAACUUGCUCCAUUUCAUAUUUCUGCCUCUCCGUCUCCACUCUUUUCUGUUCCAUCUCAUCUUUUGCCCUUUGUAUCUCCAUCCUCAGUCGUUCCAUCUCAUCCUUCUUCCUCAUGGUCAGUUUCAUCCUUUGGUCAAGUUCUUUCUUCUUCCCUUCCAUUUCUCUCUUCAUCAGCUCCAUUUCUCCAAUCUCUCGUUUGGUUUUCUGCAUCCUUUCCUCCAGCUCUUCUCUUUGUCUUUGUAUUUCCUCUUUGACAAGCUGCAUUUUGUCCAUCUCUGCUUUUGCUAGCUCCAUUUUCCUUUCAACAUCCUCUUUUUGUUUUAAGAUCUCAGUCCUCAUCAGUUCCAUCUGGUAUCUCUCACUUUUUGCUUCCAUCAUCUGGAUUUCAAUAUCUUCUUUCUGUUUUUGGAGGUCUGCUCUCAUCUUUUCAAGAUGAGUCAUUUCCAGCCUUGCCUUCUCCAUCUUUACGUCGAUGUCCUCCUUCUGUUUUGUUAACUCCAUCUUCAUGUCUUCAAUAUCACCCAUCUCCUUCUUCAUAGCUUCCAUCUUCCUCAUCAUCUCCUCCUUCUCCCUGUUCAUCCUUUCACAUUCCUCAGGCUCUCCCUUUUCAGCCUCAUCCCACAACCUCUCUAUCUCCGCUCUCACCCUGUUAAUCUCAUCCUUGACCUCUUCAUAUGUGUCUUUCCCUCUCAGCGUUUCCAAACGGAUCUUCUCCAGAUCUUCUCUCUCGUCCUCCAUGUCCUCUCUCAUCUUCCUCAAGGUGUCCUCUCGUCGUUUUGUCUCCUCUAACCUUUUAUUCACUUCCUCUCUUUGUUCCUGGAUCUCAAUCAUAAGGCGUUCAGCUUUCACUCUAUCUUGUUGCGCUAACUCUCUGCUUCUGUUCAUGAUCUCUGUGUCCAGAAAUAGCUGAGUCUUGAUCUUCUCAAGUUCUUCUCUUUGUCUCUGCACUUGAGCACUCUGUUCUACAUCAUAUCUCAUCAUUUCAUACCUUUGUUUUUCUAGAUCUUUCUUGUCGUUCUGGACCUGAACUCUAAUCUGUUUGAGUUCCUCUCUCUCCUUGUCCAUCUCAGCUAAACGCUUUUCCUGAUCUUCCUUGUCCUUCAACGCAGCUGUUUUCAGUUGCUCAACAAUCUCUUUCUCUUGCUGUGUAUCCUCCAGCAUUUUCUGCAGGUUUUCUUUUUCAGAAUACCUCAACUUUUCUAGCUCAUGUCUGGCUCUUUGUAUCUCUUCAUUUAUUUGUUCUAACUCCUCUGUUUUUUUGUGUAUUUCAUCUCUUUGCUCCAAUGCCUCUGUUAUGGUUUCAUACCGUCUCUUUUCUGACUCUUCCAUUUGCUUUUUUAAGAGCAUCUCAGCCUCUUUGACUCCAAGUUUGGCAUGGUUUGCCUCCUCCUUUUCUUGUUUUGCAACUCUAAUCCUGUUCUCUAUUUCUGCCUUUUGUUUUUGUAGCUCAUUUCUCAUGCUUUUGAUUUCAUCUGCUUCUUCUUUAGCCUUUUCGCUGCUUUUAGUAAUCUCUCCUCGCUCUUUCUCCAUCUGUUCUAUCAUUUUUGUCAACUCCUCUCUCUUUGCUUUAGCCUCAUCCAUCUGUUUGAUAGCGGCAAGUUUGUCGUCUUCUGCCUGAAGCUUUAUUUUUUCAAGACUGUCCUUCCACUGCAUGAGCUCCAUCCUGCUCUCCUCAAUGUUUUUCUGCGAUCUUUGGACCUCGUCCCUUAAUUUUUCCAGUCUUUCCAUCUCAUGCUGAGUUUUCGCUCUGAGUUCAACUUCCUCUUUCUCUGUUUCAUGCCACCUGUUCUCCAUUUCCUCCUUCACCCUGAGGAUUUCACUUCUGAGGAACUCACACUGUUCGGUCUCUCUUUUCACCAAUUCUCUCUUUCGUUCCAGCUCCUCCCGCUCUUCCUCCAACUCAGCCUUUGUCUCCUCCAUUUGUUCUUUUGUUUUUUGGAUCUCCUCAAUUUUCUUCUCAAUAUCUUCAAUCUGUCCUUGAAUUUCAGUCUUCAUUUUUUCCAUUUUCUCAUUUUCCCGGAUUGUGACUUCUUGGCUGUUCUCAAUAUCCUCUUUGGCUCUGUCUAUCUCAUGUUUAAUUCUUUCUAACUCUUGUCUCUCCCUCAGCAUCUCCUCUUGUCUUCGGUUCAAGCUGUCUUUUUCAGCCUUGAUCUCUGCUUUGAUUAGUUCUGUCAUUUCUCUUUCUUGUCUGGCUUCUUCUCUUAUCUUAAAACUUUCUUCCUUCUCCUUCAGUAUCUUUGCUUUCUCCGUAUCGUUAGCCCUUUGUAUCUCUACUCUUAAACUCUCCACCUCGUCUCUCUCCCUCUGCAGUCGAGCUCUGUGCUCUAGCUCCUCUGUCACUAUCUCAUACCUCUUCUUCUCCAUUUCUUCUUUAGCUUUUCGUAUAUCAUCCUUCUGUUUUUCUAGAAUAUCUUUGUCCUUCUGCAUCUCUAUUUUCAUAUGUUUCACCCUAUCAGUUUCUCUUUUUAUUUCCUCAACUCUGGCAUCCAUAGAUAUCAUGUGAUUUUGUAUGUCCACUUUGGCCUGUCCGAUCUUUUCCCAUUCCUUUUUGACCAACUCUCUAUUCAUCACCAACUCCUCUCGACCUCUCUCAAUUUCAUAUUUCAUCUCUUCCAGAUCCUUUUCUUUUCUUAAAAUAUCUUGCCAUUUCUUUUCAAUGAGGUUGUUUUCUGUAAGCGCUUGAGCUCUCAGCUGGUUUAUUCUCUCAAUCUCUUGUUUUGAAAAAUCUCUGUUUCUUUCAACCUCUUCUCUUGUUCUUUGAAUCUCGUCUUGCAGGUAUUUCAGCUCAUCUUUCUCUCUUUGGAUUAUAGCUCUCUGUUCCAGCCCUUCUUUCUCUGUUUCAUGCCAUCUUUGCUCCAUUUCCAUCUUCACUUGCUGUAUGUCAACUUUAAUCUGCUCAAAUUGGUCUCUUUGCCUCUUGAUGUCAUACUUCUUUCUCUCCAGGUCGCUUUUCUCCUCCUCUAUUUCAGCUUUCAUCUGCUCCAUCUGACACUUUGCUUUCUGUGUUUCCCCGAUCUUCAUCUCUAUCUCGUUGAUCUGAACUUGUAUGGCACUUUUCAUUUGUUCCAUUCGUUCCAUCUCGUACUUUGUGCUUUCACGGUUGCUCUCCAGCUCCUCCUUCUGUCUCAGAGUCUCAUAUCUGAUCAUCUCCAAGUUCUGUCUCUCUCUCAUGAUUUCAUCAUGCUUUUGCUCCAGGGUGGUUUGCUCAGUUUGGAGAUCAGAUCUCAUUUGCUCAAUCCUCUCCCUCUCUCUAUUUACCUCUUCUUUAUUACGAUCCAUUCUUUCGCAGAUGUGGUCCAUCUCAGCUUUCAUGUGAGUAAUAGUUCUCUCAAGUUGUCUUUUCUCAGUGGUCAUCCUGACUAUCUCAUCUUGCUGUUUCUGAAUCCUCUGUCUCAUGUAGUCUAUCUCAGUCCUCUCUUGCUUAGUUCCUUCCCAAAGUUUCUCGAUCUGCUCAAUGGCACGCAUUGUUUCUAGUCUACGCCUUUUUAGAGAGUCUUUUCUUUUCUGGGUGUCACUUGAAUGUCCAUUUCUGUCAUCCUGUCUUCUUUUUUCUCUGGGAGAACUGGGUGGACUGAUUCUCUCUGUUUGUGUAUGCUUGCUGUUGCGUUGUCUCCACUCUGCAAAAUAAUAAUAAAAAAAGAUAAAUAACUAAACUUAUUAUUAUUAUUAAUAAAUAAAUAUUAAUGCAAACGUUUUUUUUUCUUUCUCAUACAACUUAGUAAGUUUGUAGUGCCAUGUUAAUAAUGACCAUGACUGAAUUAACUUAGUGAUAAGAAUUCACAAACUGGACAGAUCCAGUUCUCGUUAAAUGGCACUAUUGCUAUCCACUAAAAUUAAUUAGAUUUUCUAACCUAGUUCUUGAAUCAGUUCAGGCUCUGUCAUUCUCAGGAUGAGAUGGAAGGACACUCUGUUUAGGGGUGGCUCUCUUUCCAAAGCCUCAAACAGGAGCCGCAUUGCCUCCUGCUGGGUUGGAGCAGCCUGCACUUGUUGAGCUGCUGCUUCAUGGAUCAGACUUUGGGAGACAACAGCCUCAGCAAUGUCACUGACCCGAGUAGCCCUCGUAAUUAUCUGCUCCUUGAAUUCUGUCAGGAAAUCUCCAACUGUUGGGAAGGAGAACAUUUGCACUGCAUUAAUAAACAAUGCAUUACACAGUCACAAUUAAAUGUAGAUUAAAUUAAGUAGUGCAGUGAACUUUACCGUAAUCUCUGGAUUCUGCCAUGGCUGCUUGCUUGCUUAAGAAAUUAAUUCCAUUGUGUACUACAGUAUUUAAAAAUAACAAAAUAUCAUUAAAAAUAAAGGAACAUAAGGAAUAAACAUAAAGGAUAAAGUGUACAGAAAUGUAAAGGUGAAGUUAUUUGAGUGUUGUACCGUUUUCAAAAGAUUUUAACUGUGAAAUGUAUUGUAAAAUAGAGAAAAACAAUAAAGCAAGAUAUACAUUCAAUCCAGAUCAUUUUUAUACAUGAGUAUUAAGGAGGCAGAAAUGGGAUUGCAGCAUUUUUUAUAGACUUGCAUUGUUUUCUUGACAAAUGUUUUUAUCCUUUAACUUAAUAAGUAAAACACAUUUUGAAGUUAUAAAUAACAUGAUUAUUAAUAUGUUUUACAAUAAAUAUUAUUUCAGUUUCUCUUCAAAAUGUCAUGUUUAAUUUGUUGCCAUGUCCUUAUAUUUGUUUGUGAAAUUUACUAGCCAUUUCUGAGUGAUUUUUUUUUUCUAGUGCUAAGAUAUGACUUAAGGAACUAAUAUUAUUUUAUAAAAUUGUUUAAAAGAUUCUUACCUUUUGUGAUAUUACUGGAUUUAAUUAGUUCUGUAAAAAGUUGUGGUCUGAUGAUGGAGGCAUAUUGCUCUAGUAAUGGUGAAG
ensembl:lncRNA